CGGUUAAGUUAGAAAGGGCGCACGGUGGAUGCCUUGGCACUAGGAGCCGAUGAAGGACGGGACGAACACCGAUAUGCUUCGGGGAGCUGUAAGCAAGCUUUGAUCCGGAGAUUUCCGAAUGGGGAAACCCACCACUCGUAAUGGAGUGGUAUCCAUAUCUGAAUACAUAGGAUAUGAGAAGGCAGACCCGGGGAACUGAAACAUCUAAGUACCCGGAGGAAGAGAAAGCAAAUGCGAUUCCCUGAGUAGCGGCGAGCGAAACGGGACCAGCCCAAACCAAGAGGCUUGCCUCUUGGGGUUGUAGGACACUCUGUACGGAGUUACAAAGGAACGAGGUAGAUGAAGAGGUCUGGAAAGGCCCGCCAUAGGAGGUAACAGCCCUGUAGUCAAAACUUCGUUCUCUCCUGAGUGGAUCCUGAGUACGGCGGAACACGUGAAAUUCCGUCGGAAUCCGGGAGGACCAUCUCCCAAGGCUAAAUACUCCCUAGUGACCGAUAGUGAACCAGUACCGUGAGGGAAAGGUGAAAAGCACCCCGGAAGGGGAGUGAAAGAGAUCCUGAAACCGUGUGCCUACAAGUAGUCAGAGCCCGUUAACGGGUGAUGGCGUGCCUUUUGUAGAAUGAACCGGCGAGUUACGAUCCCGUGCAAGGUUAAGCAGAAGAUGCGGAGCCGCAGCGAAAGCGAGUCUGAAUAGGGCGAAUUGAGUACGUGGUCGUAGACCCGAAACCAGGUGAUCUACCCAUGUCCAGGGUGAAGUUCAGGUAACACUGAAUGGAGGCCCGAACCCACGCACGUUGAAAAGUGCGGGGA
rnacentral:rRNA from 1 species